rnacentral:rRNA from 1 species
GGAGUGGGUAUGCUUAACACAUGCAAGUCGAACGGUAACAUAGCUAGCUUGCUAGGAUGAGUAGAGCGGCGGACGGGUGAGUAAUACGUAGGAAUCUACCUAGUAGUGGGGGACAACUUGUGGAAACGCAAGCUAAUACCGCAUACGCCCUACGGGGGAAAGCGGGGGAUCUUCGGACCUCGUGCUAUUAGAUGAGCCUGCGUUAGAUUAGCUAGUUGGUGGGGUAAAGCCCUACCAAGGCGACGAUCUAUAGCUGGUCUGAGAGGAUGAUCAGCCACACUGGGACUGAGACACGGCCCAGACUCCUACGGGAGGCAGCAGUGGGGAAUAUUGCGCAAUGGGGGCAACCCUGACGCAGCCAUGCCGCGUGUGUGAAGAAGGCUCUAGGGUUGUAAAGCACUUUCAGCGGGGAGGAAAGGUUGUAGUUUAAUAAGCUGCAGCUGUGACGUUACCCGCAGAAGAAGCACCGGCUAAUUCAGUGCCAGCAGCCGCGGUAAUACUGAAGGUGCAAGCGUUAAUCGGAAUUACUGGGCGUAAAGCGCGCGUAGGCGGCUUGGUCAGUCAGAUGUGAAAGCCCCGGGCUCAACCUGGGAACUGCAUUUGAUACUGCUGAGCUAGAGUAUGGGAGAGGGCUGUGGAAUUCCACGUGUAGCGGGAAAUUCGUAUAUCUCUGAAGGAACACCAGUGGCGAAGGCGGCUCUCUGGACCAAUACUGACGCUGAGGUGCGAAAGCGUGGGUAGCAAACGGGAUUAGAUACCCCGGUAGUCCACGCCGUAAACGAUGUCAACUAACUGUUGGGCGGGUUUCCGCUUAGUGGUGCAGCUAACGCAAUAAGUUGACCGCCUGGGGAGUACGGCCGCAAGGCUAAAACUCAAAUGAAUUGACGGGGGCCCGCACAAGCGGUGGAGCAUGUGGUUUAAUUCGAUGCGACGCGAAGAACCUUCCCUACCCUUGACAUACAGAGAACUUUCUAGAGAUAGAUUGGUGCCUUCGGGAACUCUGAUACAGGUGCUGCAUGGCUGUCGUCAGCUCGUGUCGUGAGAUGUUGGGGUUCCCGCACGAGCGCAUCAUGUCUAGUGCAGCACAUAUGGUGGACUCUAAGAGACUGCCGGUGAUACCGAGGAGGUGGGGAUGACUUCAGUCAUCAUGGCCUUAGGUAGAUACACGAUGUCCAAUGUGCUAACAACGGUGCAGACCCACG